rnacentral:rRNA from 1 species
UACGGAGGGUGCAAGCGUUGUCCGGAUUUAUUGGGUUUAAAGGGUGCGUAGGCGGUCUUUUAAGUCAGUGGUGAAAUCCUCCAGCUUAACUGGAGAACUGCCAUUGAUACUGGGAGACUUGAGUACAGACGAGGUAGGCGGAAUUGACAGUGUAGCGGUGAAAUGCGUAGAUAUCUGGAGGAACACCGGUGGCGAAGGCGGCAUCCUGGACCGGCAUUGACGCUGAGGAGCGAAAGCCAGGGGAGCAAACGGG